rnacentral:rRNA from 1 species
AAACUUUCAACAACGGAUCUCUUGGUUCUGGCAUCGAUGAAGAACGCAGCGAAAUGCGAUAAGUAAUGUGAAUUGCAGAAUUCAGUGAAUCAUCGAAUCUUUGAACGCACAUUGCGCCCUUUGGUAUUCCGAAGGGCAUGGCCUGUUCGAGCGUCAUUU